CCUACGGGUGGCAGCAGUGGGGGAUAUUGCACAAUGGGGGAAACCCUGAUGCAGCGACGCCGCGUGGGUGAAGAAGCGCCUCGGCGCGUAAAGCCCUGUCAGCAGGGAAGAAAAUGACGGUACCUGAAGAAGAAGCCCCGGCUAACUACGUGCCAGCAGCCGCGGUAAUACGUAGGGGGCAAGCGUUAUCCGGAUUUACUGGGUGGAAAGGGGGCGCAGACGGCGUGGCAAGCCAGGAGUGAAAGCCCGGGGCCCAACCCCGGGACUGCUCUGGGAACUGCGGGGCAGGGGUGCAGGAGGGGAAGGGGGAUUCCCUGUGGAGCGGUGAAAUGCGUAGAUAUCAGGAGGAACACCGGUGGCGAAGGCGGCCUGCUGGACUGCAACUGACGUUGAGGCCCGAAAGCGUGGGGAGCAAACAGGAUUAGAUACCCUUGUAGUC
rnacentral:rRNA from 1 species